UACGUAGGUGGCAAGCGUUGUCCGGAUUUAUUGGGUUUAAAGGGUGCGUAGGCGGUUCCAUAAGUCAGUGGUGAAAUACGGCAGCUCAACUGUCGAGGUGCCAUUGAUACUGCGGAACUUGAGUACUGAUGAGGUAGGCGGAAUUGACGGUGUAGCGGUGAAAUGCUUAGAUAUCGUCAAGAACACCGAUAGCGAAGGCAGCUUACCAAGCAGUAACUGACGCUGAGGCACGACAGUGCGGGGAUCAAACAGG
rnacentral:rRNA from 1 species